AACAUCAGGGAGAGGGAAGGGGGAAUGGCUCCAGCCUCCUCAAAUCCCUCCCCCAGCUCCAGCUGGAGAGUGGCAGCAAUGCUUGUCCCAGGUCCAGCCUCCCUCCAAGGAAACAUAAAUGUACCUGGGGUGAUAACAGCCCCCUUGAAGACUGCUUGGCACCAGGGAAAGGGAGAUUGGACACGGUGCUCCACUUCUUCCUUCUUCUUGAGGACCAGGAAAAGAUGAUCCAAACAGUCUCCAGUGAACAGAGAAAUCAUUGAGGUCACCAAGGAUGAGCUUUUCUCAGGUCCUGCAUCAGCUUUGGAAGAGGACUACCAACCAAAGCAAUCUUUUUCUCCCAUACCUUGAACACUAUCAGAGUUUGGUUUGAGCUGCUGCCCUGGCAGCCCUCCAAGGGAAAACACCAAUAGUGUCCCAGGAGGCAAGCAGGUGUGCUGCCAUCCCCAGGAGAGCAGGAAUCCACCACAGGUCUGUUGUUUUAAAACUCAGUCUAUAUAUCACCCAAAAUCUUGCCUCUGUGGAGGGAUAGUUCAGACCCCAUCAUUGUGUUAAUAAAUUCAGAAUCACCUCAUCAGAUUUCUUCAGUUUCUGGGAACCUUUAAACCCUGGCAAUUCUAUAAAUAACAGAAUCACAGAAUAAGGAGUUCUGGAAAAUUCAGACAUCACAGAUCUGAGCUCUCCCACUGUUUUGAGCCAAAGUCUAUCCUGUCAUAUCAGUGGCUCAGGGGAUCUGCCUGAACAUCAUGGCUGAGAUAAAUUUUAUCAUCACGCCAGUUCUCUUCACCAAAGGUACAGGAACCUCUCCUAAUCUGGCACUGAAUUUGGGGGUGUGAAUGUCACUGCAGCUGCCAGAGACCAUCUCGUGGCCAUUAAUGGAACAAAGUUAUUCUAAGAAUUAAGUAGAUGGAGAAUAUGUUUUAUUUUAAGCUGAAGAGCAUUCCUCAAAAGCAUGUUCAAUACCUUAAGGAAUUUUUUUAAAAAAUCUGGCUAUCAGGGAAACUCCAGACAUUACUAGAAAGUGGUUUCCAAGGUCAAAAUGAAAUGCACACCCAAAUCUCCACUCACUGACAAAUUCACUCCUCUUCACCUUUCUAAGUUGUGCAGUGGUGGGAGGUAGGAGAGAUGGGGAGAAGUUGAAGAGUUCUGUGAACACUUUUCCCCCUUUAAAUGUACAUUUUCUAGGUAAAUUUUAAAAUAAAAACAGAGGGAUGAUAAAAAUCUUCCCCUGAUGGGUAAAAAUAUUAACAAGUAUUUUCCUAAUAAUUUCUUGAAAAAAACUUCCUUUGUUUUCCCAUUAAAAUUCAAAAUAAAGUGAAAAAUACUGAAUUAUUGGAAA